rnacentral:rRNA from 1 species
GACGAACGCUGGCGGCGUGCUUAACACAUGCAAGUCGAACGGAAAGGCCCUGCUUUUGUGGGGUGCUCGAGUGGCGAACGGGUGAGUAACACGUGAGUAACCUGCCCUUGACUUUGGGAUAACUUCAGGAAACUGGGGCUAAUACCGGAUAGGAGCUCCUGCUGCAUGGUGGGGGUUGGAAAGUUUCGGCGGUUGGGGAUGGACUCGCGGCUUAUCAGCUUGUUGGUGGGGUAGUGGCUUACCAAGGCUUUGACGGGUAGCCGGCCUGAGAGGGUGACCGGCCACAUUGGGACUGAGAGACGGCCCAGACUCCUACGGGAGGCAGAGGGGGGGAGUAUUGCACAGUGGGCGGAAGCCUGAUGCAGCAGCGCCGCGUGCGGGAUGACGGCCUUCGGGUUGUAAACCGCUGUCGCCUGUGACGAAGCGUUAGUGACGGUAAUGGGUAAAGAAGCACCGGCUAACUACGUG